AGCUUGUGCCCCCAGCCUCGCAGCCCCUGAUCCCUGCCUGGCACCCUGCCUUGGCCUGGCACCGCCCCCUUACCUUCUCCACCAUCCCGCCUGCAGGAUGAUCGAUCAGGGCUGGGCCCCCCUACCCAGCUUCCUCAGCACUUGUAAGCCAGCAAUGGCUCUGCCCCCCUGCCACUGGUCACUGUCUGCUGUACAAUCAGCGGGGCAAUAGGACCCCUGCUCACACUCACCUUUGCCUGGCGCCACCUGCUCACCUCCAACAUCCCACCAUGGUCCCGCUGUUCUCCGGGCUGGCAGCGCCUCCACUGCCAGUGCUGCAUCGCUGAUGCCUGCCCUGUUCUAUUCUGUGCCCCCCCCCCCCCCCCCCCGUGGUCAGCGCACAUCAUAGUAAGCAGUUGAACUCCCUGUCCAAAGAUGAGUGACUGCCUAAGGGACAAUUUGCAUAUUAGACUUAAGUAACAAAUCCUAAAUAAUACAUGUUUUUCCAAGAUGAUUAGUCCCAAAUAUCCAUCCCAAAUAUGCUUUGGGCAUCUUUGUAAAUUAGGAAAGGACUCUUUCUGCUUGCUGUGGACUGUCUUAAGUGAUUCCAGAGAUUUGCACUUAGUGAAGGAAGAGUCCAGUAAGAAUAUAAAUGUAUAGCCAGGGCAAUGUGCUUAAAUAAAAUAGCAUUUUCUGCCCUCUGAACAUUAAUUUCUCCUGCUAGAUUUUGAAUCUUGGUGAUUAGUUUCCAGUUACAUUUCACUUGUUCUUGGUUUAUUGUAGGUUGUUUUAUGGGACUUGUUAGCUGAGUUCUGUAUCAUCACAAGAAGAGGAAAGGCUAUCAAUUAAUGGCUCUUUUAAAACUGAAUAAGUAUCUUGAGUGCUGUAUCCCCAGAUUCAGUGUUCAGUACCAUAACUGAUCUGAGAUUCCAUUUCUGAUGAGCUCUACGUGAUGAUGAUGCUGGGCCUGGACUACAAUUCGAGUAACUAGGGUGAAGACUAUUAUUGAUGUGUCAAUAUACUUUCAAUAUGAGGAAAUACAAUGAAGUUUAUAGGCCAAUUUUUAUCUUGCUUAAGAUAGAUUUUUUAAGACUCCUAAAGAUUUCUUAAAGGUAUUUGGUACUUAGUUUUGCCUUGCUUUCUUUUUAAAAAAUUAAAAGUUUAUAUUAUA